GUCUACAGCCAUGCCACCCUGAACAAGCUUGAUGUCUGAUCUCAGAAGCUCAGCAGGGUUGGGCCUGUUUAGUACUUGGUUGGGAGAUCACCUAGGAAGACCUGGUGUUGUAGGCA
rfam:Pteropus alecto contig83278, whole genome shotgun sequence.